rnacentral:lncRNA from 1 species
UGUUUGUCCUCAAUGACGGAGGAUGCUGAAAAGUGGGGUGCAGGAGGGGUGGGCGGGUGUAUCCUAAAAAUAAGGGGUGUCCAGCCUCAGCCCAGGAGCAGAAUGCAGCAGGGCAUGGGGAUUAUAAGGGAAAUGAAUGGCAGCUGGUGAUGCUGCCUGUUGGGUGCUGCUAUCUAUAAGAUGGGGUGGCUGCAGGGCACCCAACUGCAGGCGUCUCCAUGUCUCCUAGGGCUGGGAACCAUCGGGAUGAGCAGUGCUGGCUGUGUCCCCAGGGAGCAGUGCCCAAUCCCUGGGCUCCACCACAGUGCUGAGCUGCCUGCAGGGACCAUCCACAGAGUUUUCUGCACAAAUGUGCCUGAUCCGUAGCCUUGGAAGAUGCUGUAACCGAGGAUGCUGCAGGGGAGGAAGGCUUUGAUGGUGGGAGGAGGUUCUCCUCUCUGGGCAGCCCAUGUCCCUUGGGGAUGCAGUGCCAUGCUAUUGCCCCUUGGUCUUGUGCUGGGAUGCUCCCAGGCCAUACCAGAGUGGGGAUGCUCCUCACUAAUUUCCAUGGCUGGAAUUGGCAAGCCCAUCUAUUAUUGCUGCAAACAGCUUUCAAACAAGAGAGUGAUGGCUCAGUGUAUAACCUUGGGUUAAAUCAUCAUUAUACUGACAGCUUGGGAGACCUAAUAUUUGAGUUUGCCUUUGUAGCUGUUUGCCUAUUUAAUAAAACCCCUGUUUUACAUACAAAUACACCCGUACGCACUCAAGCUUGUUGCAUGGAGCAGGAAGGAUCCCAGGGCUUUUCAGUAAGCAGUCGCUUCCUAGUGUGAAUUCCUGAUCACUGGCAUUGAAUUCGGGAUUGCAGGAAGACAGGCAGGAGCAGAGGGGCACAGAGAUGCAGGGCUGAGGCUUUAAGUCUGAGAUGGUAGCGUGGUGCUCCAAGCCUGUCCUAUGGGGGAUCUAAAGAUGCUCCUUGUGGGUUUCCCCCUUUAAUCUGCCUCUGCAGAGGUCAAAUGGCUCUUUAGGGAGAAAAAAGUAUUGUGCAUAGGACCUGUCUGCAUCUCCCGAUCACCUCCUGCACCCCAUAACCCCCCAUAGAC